rnacentral:lncRNA from 1 species
UGAGUAUAUGCAUUCACUAAUGUAAAAUAAUUUGCCAAGAAAGGUGAAAUUAGUAUAUUGUACUUGACUAUUCACCUUUCCCUUAGUUUUUUGAAUUUUUUUCAUUGGUUGCAGAGGAAGUAUUAGCAAUUUAAUUCUUUUAAAAUAAUUUGCACUGGAAUAAAUAAGUAUCGGCAAAUAUAAGAAGAGUAACAUAAUUUAAGGGUGAAUUAAUUUUAUUUGGGAAGUUUUAGUUCUGUAUAGUUAAGGCAGAUUCUUCAUUUGCAACAGUUG